rnacentral:rRNA from 1 species
UGGCAGCAGUGGGGAAUUUUGGACAAUGGGGGCAACCCUGAUCCAGCAAUGCCGCGUGUGUGAAGAAGGCCUUCGGGUUGUAAAGCACUUUUGUCCGGAAAGAAAACCUUCGCUCUAAUACAGUGGGGGGAUGACGGUACCGGAAGAAUAAGCACCGGCUAACUACGUGCCAGCAGCCGCGGUAAUACGUAGGGUGCGAGCGUUAAUCGGAAUUACUGGGCGUAAAGCGUGCGCAGGCGGUUCGUUAAGACAGAUGUGAAAUCCCCGGGCUUAACCUGGGAACUGCAUUUGUAACUGGCGAGCUAGAGUAUGGCAGAGGGGGGUAGAAUUCCACGUGUAGCAGUGAAAUGCGUAGAGAUGUGGGGGAAUACCGAUGGCGAAGGCAGCCCCCUGGGCCAAUACUGACGCUCAUGCACGAAAGCGUGGGGAGCAAACAGGAUUAGAUACCCUGGUAGUCCACGCCCUAAACGAUGUCAACUAGUUGUUGGGGAUUCAUUUCCUUAGUAACGUAGCUAACGCGUGAAGUUGACCGCCUGGGGAGUACGGUCGCAAGAUUAAAACUCAAAUGAAUUGACGGA